rnacentral:rRNA from 1 species
UGGGGAAUAUUGCACAAUGGGCGCAAGCCUGAUGCAGCCAUGCCGCGUGUAUGAAGAAGGCCUUCGGGUUGUAAAGUACUUUCAGCGGGGAGGAAGGCGAUAAGGUUAAUAACCUUGUCGAUUGACGUUACCCGCAGAAGAAGCACCGGCUAACUCCGUGCCAGCAGCCGCGGUAAUACGGAGGGUGCAAGCGUUAAUUGGAAUUACUGGGCGUAAAGCGCACGCAGGCGGUCUGUCAAGUCGGAUGUGAAAUCCCCGGACUCAACCUGGGAACUGCAUUCGAAACUGGCAGGCUAGAGUCUUGUAGAGGGGGGUAGAAUUCCAGGUGUAGCGGUGAAAUGCGUAGAGAUCUGGAGGAAUACCGGUGGCGAAGGCGGCCCCCUGGACAAAGACUGACGCUCAGGUGCGAAAGCGUGGGGAGCAAACA